rnacentral:lncRNA from 1 species
AAAUCAUAUCAAAUUAGGGGAUUUCAACAAUAAUGGGUUAUGGGUUAACAUUGAGGGUAAAUCAAUUAAUGGUUUGUUAGGCUCAAAGGGGUUCACUAAGGGUUAAUUAUGAAGGUAGGCUUUUGUGAAGUAAAUUUUUAAACCUAAGUGCCUUUAUCAACUUGUCAUAUCAAAUCAAAUGGUGUGGUCUUGACAUGCAUAAUCAAGCAAGUUCUAGAAUAACAAAUCAAUACUGACG